AGCCAGAGCUUUACAAUGCAUUUCUUAAAGGAAAGUGCAUUUUAUGUGUGUGCAGACCUCAUUUGGUGAUCCAUGUGUUUAUCAAUAUGUUCUCAGCGUGCCUUUUUCAGCAGAGUACUGCUGAAAAAAACUAACUGAAAAAAAAUAAAUACAGUAUGUUUUAGAAUCUAACCACCCCAUAAGACCUUAGUAUUUGUUACUGAGCUGAUGCCUCAUAAAGUAUGAUUAAGAUGUCUGUCCAGAUAAAUCGUUUGUUUUCCUGAAGCUGUUGAGGGGGAACUGAUUUCUACUUUAUACUGAAAGUUAGAAAUGCAGAAGUCUUUUCUCAAGUAAGUCCUAAGCAUGAUUUCCCUAUGUGGAAAAAAUUAUGAACUGUUUCACCUGCAUGGGGUGGGGGGGGGGAGCAGCACAUACUUUGAAAAAUAAGUGAAGUUUUACAGUAUGGCAUGUGAUUGUAUCAAUUGUCAAUUCAUGGUGUGUUUACACCCGUAAGAAAACCCUCUACCUCCUGUGUCCAUGGUGUGCUACGCAUCUCUUUUUACAGUACUCUCCUGCCUUUUUACAUCACUCGUGUUUUUUCUGUUUUCUUGACUCAUUAAAAAUCUGUCCCAUGCAGAAUUUAUCUCCUCCAACCACCUUGUUACUGAUAUCCUAUCUCAUUUGUAGAUGAGCUAGAAAAGAGGAGAUCUGUUCAUUCAUAUCCUGUCUUUCCCUUGUCCUCUCCCUUUCCCUUUCCUAGGCAAUGUAUGUUCUAUACUUCACAAUUGACACAUUAAUGUCCUCUUGUUUAUACUUCUUUGGCAUUCUUUUUUGUUCC